AUCGAACGCUGGCGGCAGGCCUAAUACAUGCAAGUCGAACGAGUGGCGGACGGGCGAGUAAUUUCUGGGAAACUGCCUGAUCGAGGGGGAUAACUACUGGAACCGGUAGCUAAUACUGCAUACCACAAGAUCUGCCCAGAUGGGAUUAGCUAGCUGGUGGGGUAACGACUCAUCAAGGUGACGAUCCCUAGCUGGUCUGAGAGGCUGACCAGCCACACUGGAACUGAGACACGGUCCAGACUCCUACGGGAGGCAGCAGUGGGGAAUCGUGCGCAAUGGGCGCAAGCCUGAUGCAGCAAUGCAGCGUGUAUGAAGAAGGCCUUCGGAUUAUAAAGUACUUUGAGCGGGGAAGCGUUACCCGCAGAGGAAGCACCGGAUAACUCCGUGCCAGCAGCCGCGGUAAUAC
rnacentral:rRNA from 1 species